UACGUAGGUGGCAAGCGUUGUCCGGAAUUAUUGGGCGUAAAGCGCGCGCAGGCGGCCUCUUAAGUCUGAUGUGAAAGCCCCCGGCUCAACCGGGGAGGGCCAUUGGAAACUGGGAGGCUUGAGUAUAGGAGAGAAGAGUGGAAUUCCACGUGUAGCGGUGAAAUGCGUAGUAGAUGUGGAGGAACACCAGUGGCGAAGGCGACUCUUUGGCCUAUAACUGACGCUGAGGCGCGAAAGCGUGGGGAGCAAACAGGA
rnacentral:rRNA from 1 species